UACGUAGGGUGCGAGCGUUAAUCGGAAUUACUGGGCGUAAAGCGUGCGCAGGCGGUUUUGUAAGCCAGAUGUGAAAUCCCCGGGCUUAACCUGGGAAUGGCAUUUGGGACUGCAAGGCUGGAGUUUGGCAGAGGAGACUGGAAUUCCUGGUGUAGCAGUGAAAUGCGUAGAUAUCUGGAGGAACACCGGUGGCGAAGGCGGCGUUCUGGACUGCAACUGACACUGAGGAACGAAAGCCAGGGGAGCAAACGGG
rnacentral:rRNA from 1 species